rnacentral:rRNA from 1 species
AGACUAAAAGAUCUAUAAAUUGAUUUAUCGAAUAAAAUUCUAAAUGUUUAUUGAUAAUGACGAUAAACAGAUUGAUGCCUUGACUAAUUACGUGCCAGCAGUCGCGGUAAUACGUAAGAGGCUAGUGUUAUUCAUCUUUAAUAGGUUUAAAGGGUACUUAGACGGUAAAAUUUUCCUUUAUAAAGGUACGCUUUUACUAGAGUUUUAUGUGAGAAGGUAGUACUUAAGGUGUAGAGAUUAUAUUCGUUGAUACCUUAGGGACUGAUAAAGGCGAAGGCAACCUUUUAUGUAAAAACUGACGUUGAAGGACGAAGGCACAGAGAACGAACAGGAUUAGAUACCCUAGUAGUCUUUGCAGAGAAUGAUGAAUGCCAUAGGUUAGGUUUUAAUAACUUGGUCUAUAAAUGAAAGUGUAAGCAUUUCACCUCAAGAGUAAUGUGGCAACGCAGGAACUGAAAUCACUAGACCGUUUCUGACACCAGCAGUGAAGUAUGUUAUUUAAUUCGAUGAUCCACGAAAAACCUUACCACAAUUUGAAUGUUAUUAAUACUAAUUAAUAAUACAAGUGUUGCACGGCUGUUUUCAGUUAAUGUUGUGAAACUGCGGAUUCGUCCGUGAAAUUAACGGAUACCCCGGCUUUAUUUAUAAAUUAUUAAUAUAGAGCAUUUUCUGACACGCUACAAUUGUCAGAACAAAAGGG